GUCUAUGGCUAUACACCCUGAAUGCGCCCAAUCUCGUCUGAUCUUGGAAGCUAAGCAGGGUCAGGUCUGGUUAGUACUUGGAUGGGAGAAAUAGGAAAAUAGUAUACAUAGACA
rnacentral:rRNA from 1 species